rnacentral:lncRNA from 1 species
AGACCUGGAGGAGCCUGUGGCCCUGGAAUACGGUGCCCUCAGGUCUCUCUCUUUUGGGGGUCUGAAUGUCUAGUGCUGAUUCCUGUUUUGCCUGCUCCUACCUGCCCCUCUGCUGGAUGUACUGCAGAGAAGAGUCUUGGUGUCCUGUCAUAGGGCCCAUCUUGUUGGACUGCUGUGGCUGAGUAUAGACCAGCAUCAGGAAAGUCUCACUGUUAAUGCAAGGAGCCACCAGAAGCUGACCUGGUCACCAGGCAGGGUCAGAACAUAUUGAUGAGGACACAGAAAAAGUAAGGGCAACAGAAACUGUCACACUGGGAGGAAGGGAGGUUAAAUUCUGGGCAGGUCUGUAACCACCCAACAUUCUGUUAAAGUACUUACAGUGUAUAUUUAAAAAUGCUGAAUGUUCCAAAAACUUUCACAU